UACAGGGGGGGGCAAGCGUUGUUCGGAUUUACUGGGCGUAAAGGGCGCGUAGGCGGCCAGCGCAAGUCAGUUGUGAAAUCUCCGGGCUUAACUCGGAACGGUCAACUGAUACUGCGCGGCUAGAGUGCAGAAGGGGCAACUGGAAUUCUCGGUGUAGCGGUGAAAUGCGUAGAUAUCGAGAGGAACACCUGCGGCGAAGGCGGGUUGCUGGGCUGACACUGACGCUGAUGCGCGAAAGCCAGGGGAGCGAACGGG
rnacentral:rRNA from 1 species